AUCGCUUCUCGGCCUUUUGGCUAAGAUCAAGUGUAGUAGGAGUAUAGAUCUUGUUGUAAUACCUUUAAUUUUUCUAAGCAGAAUAUAUUUUUAUGGUAACAUGAUAAAGCAAAGUAACAUUAUUCUCAGCCAUUAGAAUUCAA
rnacentral:snRNA from 1 species